CAGUGGCGAAGGCGGCUACUGGGCAUCAACUGACGCUGAGGCUCGAAAGCAUGGGUAGCAAACAGGAUUAGAUACCUGGUAGUCCAUGCUGUAAACGAUGAUUACUAGGUGUGGGAAGAUUGACCCUUUCCGUGCCGCAGUUAACAAAUAAGUAAUCCACCUGGGGAGUACGACCGCAAGGUUGAAACUCAAAGGAAUUGACGGGGGCCCGCACAAGCAGUGGAGUAUGUGGUUUAAUUCGAAGCAACGCGAAGAACCUUACCAGGUCUUGACAUCCAACGACCGCCUAAGAGAUUAGGCUUUCCUUCGGGACGUUGAGACAGGUGGUGCAUGGUUGUCGUCAGCUCGUGUCGUGAGAUGUUGGGUUAAGUCCCGCAACGAGCGCAACCCUUAUUACUAGUUACUACGCAAGAGGACUCUAGUGAGACUGCCGUUGACAAAACGGAGGAAGGUGGGGAUGACGUCAAAUCAUCAUGCCCUUUAUGACCUGGGCUACACACGUACUACAAUGGCUAUUAACAGAGAGAAGCGAGACCGCAAGGUGGAGCAAACCUCAGAAAAAUAGUCUCAGUCCGGAUUGGGGGCUGCAACCCGCCCCCAUGAAGCCGGAAUUGCUAGUAAUCGCGGAUCAGCAUGCCGCGGUGAAUACGUUCCCGGGCCUUGUACACACCGCCCGUCACACCAUGAGAGCCGGGGGGACCCGAAGUCGGUAGUCUAACCGCAAGGAGGACGCCGCCGAAGGUAAAACUGGUGAUUGGGGUGAAGUCGUAACAAGGUAACCGUAAAGGGCGAAUU
rnacentral:rRNA from 1 species